UGUGUAGGCGGUGCUCUAAGUCUGUUGUGAAAUCUCCCGGCUUAACUGGGAGGGUGCGGCGGAGACUGGAGUGCUAGAGUGUGGGAGAGGUAAGCGGAAUUCCUGGUGUAGCGGUGAAAUGCGUAGAUAUCAGGAGGAACACCUGUGGUGUAGACAGCUUACUGGACCACGACUGACGCUGAGACACGAAAGCGUGGGUAGCAAACA
rnacentral:rRNA from 1 species